rnacentral:pre_miRNA from 1 species
AGGAGGACUCACUAUCUGCAUUCUCCACGCAUGCGCGUUCAGUUGUUAAUGAGACAGUGUGUCCUCCCUCG